GUUGCAGAGACAUCGAUUGGAUAAUUGGCUCGGUAUAAGCUUAAUAAGACAAUACCUGUUACAUGUAUAAUCAAAUAUUUAUAGACGUUUUCAAGAACAAUUACUUGAUACUUAUUAAGCUGAUAAAAUGCAAUUCAUUUUUUAGAUGAAAACGAUAUUCCUGUCGCGUUGUUUAAGGCAGCGACGGCAAACACUACCAAUAAGACUGGGGCAGAAACUUCUCUAAUAAGCUGGAGUUUUGUCCGAUUUUAAAAGGAUGAGUGUUUACAUAUCAUGUUUUGAUAUUGAUGGAGAUUCUUGUGAAGAGAUCGAAAAAGAGCUACAAAAACAUCAUAUGAACAUCAUACGACAUGAAAACACACCAGGAAGAUUCCUGCUCUCAGAUGGUGACAAUCGAGAAGGAUGGAUAAUAGUUAUUGUAUCGAAAGAAUCGCUGAAAAGCGAACUGCUUUCUUUCAAUCUCAUAAAAUGCCUGACUGCCGAUGUUGAUGACGGCAGAUUGAGGAUCCUGCUUGUAUUGCGCAGCGGUGUGAAUAUCUCAGAAGUACCAAGAUGUAUUCGUUGGGUUACAGUAUUCAGCGAAGAUGAGAAAUCCUACAAAAACUGGAUUGUAAGAACAAUUUUUUAGGUAAUUGGCAUCAGUGUAUGAGCCAUCAUAAUUAAAGCAUCAAACAGCCUUUCAACUUUACUUGACUUUUGAUUGAAUGUAAAAUCAUGCUUUUUUAAAUUUCGUGCCGAUAUUAUAAAGCGCAUAUAUCGUUUCUGCAAAUCUUGGAUCCGACAAAACAUGUAUUGUAUAUAUGUAUUGUAUACAGUGAAUAUCAUAUAUAGAUACAGUUUCUGUAUACAUACAGGCGACAGUAAAUGGGUAUGUCACGUACAUUUGAUACGAUAAACAUUUCGAAAUAAAAAAAUGUAUACACAAUUAUGCACGCAGUCCAACUACUUUAUAAUAAAUACCAGUGCAUACUUUGAGACUUGCUCUGUGAAAAGCGAGUUUAAUGCGUGUUCUUACAGUGUCGUCAAAUAUUAGCCAGUGCAGUACGCACAUGCUUAUCAGGGACGACACACUCCGCCUCAACUCGAGCUUUGUUCAGAAGAGAUUUUAUCUAAACGAGCGAUUUAAUAACAGUAGAAACUGUCGACACUCUACGCACAUGCAUUUAACCCCGUUUUCUCAGAGUGCGACUCAUGUAUAUGUGGUUUUUACAGGAGAACCAGUAGAUAUUGGCAGGGCACUUCCAGCAGGGGAUGUUAUGUUGGGCCUAUGUCUUGAACUACCUGAAUAUUGUGCUGACGACCAGCAGUCACAUCGUACUGUGAAGAUCUGGGAGGUCCAGACGCCAGCCAUUCGAUAUCAGUAUCAGAUACGCCAUUCUUCAUUAAAACGUUUACAACUCCCUGCAUACUCUAUCCUCGUUUCCCUUGUGAGAAACUGUCCUCUCCAUCGACUCCGUCCGUAAAGCAUCUCCUGUCAACGCCGGCAUAUGCAAUACUGUCAUCAUUUUUGUUUAUACUUUAAUCUAUCGAGAAUAAUAGCCAGAGUUGAUCAUGUAUCUAUGGACAUAAGUACACAGGUAUGGUCUAUUAGUAUUCGAAAAUGCCACGUUGAGCGUGAUUUGUCAUCCAUAUUGAAAAGAACAUUUUUCUGUUCUUAAAACUACGCUGUCAAUAGAAAAAACAAAAAUGAGAAACCCUCAAAAAGUUGUCUGGUAUUUUUCAUUUAGCAGACCUUCGUACGAGUUCAUAUUUGCAGUCGAUGACAAAGAAACAUAUACUUAAAAA